CCGGGGCAGCGUCGCUUUCAACACCUCGAACACGGCAAAGCAAAGAAAUGUGAGAGUUCACUUCAUUACCAGCGACACAUGCAGGGAAGAGGAAGAAGCAUCCCAUCAGAGACCCUGCCCAGACAUUUCUCCCAGGUGCCAGAUCGUGAGCACGAAUCCAAGAGGGAGACACCUAAUUGGCCUCAGUGUCAGGUUUGCUCGCCCUGCU
rnacentral:lncRNA from 1 species